rnacentral:tRNA from 1 species
GCCGGUGUGGCGGAAUGGCAGACGCACACGACUCAAAAUCGUGCGAGGUUUCCUCAUGUGGGUUCGACUCCCUCCACCGGCA